GAUCAUGGCUCAGGAUGAACGCUAGCGGCAGGCCUAACACAUGCAAGUCGAGGGGUAGAGUGGUUUCGGCCACUUGAGACCGGCGCACGGGUGCGUAACGCGUAUGCAAUCUACCUUGUACAGGGGGAUAGCCCAGAGAAAUUUGGAUUAAUACCCCAUGGUGUUUAAGAGUGGCAUCACUUUUUUACUAAAGUUUAGGCGGUACAAGAUGAGCAUGCGUCCCAUUAGCUAGUUGGUAUGGUAACGGCAUACCAAGGCUACGAUGGGUAGGGGUCCUGAGAGGGAGAUCCCCCACACUGGUACUGAGACACGGACCAGACUCCUACGGGAGGCAGCAGUGAGGAAUAUUGGUCAAUGGUCGGAAGACUGAACCAGCCAUGCCGCGUGCAGGAAGACGGUCCUAUGGAUUGUAAACUGCUUUUAUACAGGAAGAAACCCUCUCACGAGUGGGAGCUUGACGGUACUGUAUGAAUAAGCAUCGGCUAACUCCGUG
rnacentral:rRNA from 1 species